GCUACCAACAGGGUACUGACAGAUGUCUUUAUUCCUCUUAAAGAUAGGAGAUUAUCUGUGGACUUUUCAGCUGCAAUUGACUGGUCCUUGAUUUUUGCUGCAAACGACUAUCCUUUGACUUUCUAUCACCAGCUGAUGUUUGCUUGCACUCAGACUGUUCAUCUAGUUAAAUACUCCAUAUGAAUUGAGGCUCUUCAGUGCCCAUGUUAUUGUCUUACUUAAUUCCCCUGUAUUCACCUUGAUUUUAUUACGCUUCAAG